rnacentral:pre_miRNA from 7 species
AAUUUGGAUUUAGAGUUGAUCAAUCCAUAGUUGUAAGACCCCCUUUCGGGGACCCCCACUCUAGUCUCGGGAGUGUGAGAUCACCCAAAGAAACACGAGGACCC